rnacentral:rRNA from 1 species
GCCUAACACAUGCAAGUCGAACGCUAAAGUCCCGCAAGGGAUCAGUAGAGUGGCAAACGGGUGAGUAACACGUGGGUGACCUGCCUUCGAGUGGGGGAUAACGUCCCGAAAGGGACGCUAAUACCGCAUGACAUCCGGCCUUUGAACAGGCGGAGAUCAAAGCUGGGGAUCGCAAGACCUAGCGCUUGAAGAGGGGCCCGCGCCUGAUUAGCUAGUUGGUGAGGUAACGGCUCACCAAGGCGACGAUCAGUAUCCGGCCUGAGAGGGCGGACGGACACACUGGGACUGAGACACGGCCCAGACUCCUACGGGAGGCAGCAGUGGGGAAUUGUUCGCAAUGGGCGCAAGCCUGACGACGCAACGCCGCGUGGAGGAUGAAGACCUUCGGGUCGUAAACUCCUUUCGAUCGAGACGAAUGGCCUCUGGGUCAAUACCCUGGAGGAUUGACGGUACCGAGAGAAGAAGCCCCGGCUAACUCCGUGCCAGCAGCCGCGGUAAUACGGGGGGGGCAAGCGUUGUUCGGAAUUACUGGGCGUAAAGGGCUCGUAGGCGGCCAACUAAGUCAGACGUGAAAUCCCUCGGCUUAACCGGGGAACUGCGUCUGAUACUGGAUGGCUUGAGUUCGGGAGAGGGAUGCGGAAUUCCAGGUGUAGCGGUGAAAUGCGUAGAUAUCUGGAGGAACACCGGUGGCGAAGGCGGCAUCCUGGACCGACACGUAC